UUACGCACCUCCUGUCAAGUGGAACGGUUCUUUCCCAUUAGAACGUUAUUAUCAUCUAUGUAGGUAAUUUGUGGCGUAGUGGGUUUUCUUUUUCUUCUACAUCGCCGCGCAAAAAAUUGAGACCCAAAAAACCACUUGUGUAAUUUUCUAUAAACCAAGUCGUGUCGUUGGAAACGUUGAUUUAAAAAAACGAGCCAUUGCACUCGCGCAAGUGGCUAAGGAUAUUUCCAUCAUGCGAAAGUGCGAGUAUAAAGUCAGUUUUUUAGAUAGAACACAAUAAAAAAGGAGUUUUGUUUAUAAAAAAGCUAAAUAUCUUAAUAAUGAUACAAAAAGGCCUUCAAAAAUGUUUACGUUAUUUUGUAUUGGGGAAUUUGUCGAAGAAAAAAAAAUCCGCUUAUCUGAUGGUUUCCUCAGUCUGUCGGUCUGUUCCUUGUCUAACUUGAGAACAAAAGAGACAACGAUGUCAACCAUUCGUCAAUCGAUUUCUACGAGUUCAAGGAUCAGUCCUAUUGAAUAUGAGCCAGGUUAAAAGUCUGGUCUGUUUGGAAUACAAUAACUUUAGAAUGGAAAAAAUUGUUUAUUCUGGCAAUGGCAAUGGCAUGGAUAUUGGAUUAACAAAAAUAUUUCAGUGUAUUUAAAAAUUAAACAGCGAUCGGCUGCAAUUAUUACACUGGGUUUAGGUGGGUUUUAAAUUGGUUACUACGGCUAACAGAAAGGUCAAAUGGUCCCUUAAAUUCCGGUUCUGUGAGCAGACCUAAACUGAACUGCGCCUAUUAUAUUAUAAUAAAGACAUUGUCAUUAUUCUGUCAGUGGGGCCAAUGAGCCUCCAACUUGGUUCUGUGAACCAGUGUGUGCAUUUCAACCCCUAAUACCAGUCCGCAUUCUCGUAGCCAAUGGAUCCUGAGUACUGUUAUAUACGCAUUCGCUGGUUAGACCGAAAUUAAAAGGUCAAAAUGGCAUAUAAAACGAAUAUAUUAUUUUUAUUAUUUAAAUCCGGCCCAAAAGAUGGACAGUUGAUUAAAUUCGUUGCGGUUAUUGUAAAAUGUUUGUGUGGCUUGUAAAUGAAAAGAGAGACUCUUACGAUGUGUUUAAUUUACCUUGUUUCUGUGCUACUUCAAAUAAAAGAACCGACAGACGACUACCUCUAAAAUAAUAACAUCAAAUACCACAAGACACGGCGUAAAAUCUAAAGCCCUAACACCAUCAUCUAGGUCCUAGGAAAUCUUGGUCUGGGAGAAGGUGAGUGAUAUAAAUAAACAAGUGUAAUUAUCCAUGUAUCACUACAGUAUAGGUGUACCUACGAUUUACUAUUGACAUUUUUCGCACUGCACCUCUCACCCUUCAUCGGCAGGAACAUCCG